rnacentral:tRNA from 1 species
GGCAGAAUGGUUUAGUGAUUAGAGCGUUGGGCUAAGAUCUGAGUACGCCAGGUUUGAAUCUCCUUUCUGCCA